rnacentral:rRNA from 1 species
CCUACGGGAGGCAGCAGUGGGGAAUAUUGGACAAUGGGCGUAAGCCUGAUCCAGCCAUGCCGCGUGUGUGAAGAAGGCCUUCGGGUUGUAAAGCACUUUCAGUGGGGAAGAAAGCCUUGGGGCUAAUACCCUCGAGGAAGGACAUCACCCACAGAAGAAGCACCGGCUAACUCCGUGCCAGCAGCCGCGGUAAUACGGAGGGUGCGAGCGUUAAUCGGAAUUACUGGGCGUAAAGCGCGCGUAGGCGGUCUGAUAAGCCGGUUGUGAAAGCCCCGGGCUCAACCUGGGAACGGCAUCCGGAACUGUCAGGCUAGAGUGCAGGAGAGGAAGGUAGAAUUCCCGGUGUAGCGGUGAAAUGCGUAGAGAUCGGGAGGAAUACCAGUGGCGAAGGCGGCCUUCUGGACUGACACUGACGCUGAGGUGCGAAAGCGUGGGUAGCAAACAGGAUUAGAUACCCCAGUAGUC